GACGAACGCUGGCGGCGUGCUUAACACAUGCAAGUCGAACGGUGAACCAGAGCUUGCUCUGGGGAUCAGUGGCGAACGGGUGAGUAACACGUGGGCAACCUGCCCCAGACUCUGGGAUAACCUCGGGAAACCGAUGCUAAUACCGGAUACGACCACUUCGGACAUCCGACGGUGGUGGAAAGUUUUUCGGUCUGGGAUGGGCCCGCGGCCUAUCGGCUAGUUGGUGGGGUAAUGGCCUACCAAGGCGACGACGGGUAGCCGGCCUGAGAGGGCGACCGGCCACACUGGAACUGAGACACGGUCCAGACUCCUACGGGAGGCAGCAGUGGGGAAUAUUGCACAAUGGGCGAAAGCCUGAUGCAGCGACGCCGCGUGAGGGACGACGGGCCUUCGGGUGUAAACCUCUUCUAGCAGGACGAAGCGAAAGUGACUGUACCUGCAGAAGAAGCACCGGCUAACUACGUGCCAGCAGCCGCGGUAAU
rnacentral:rRNA from 1 species